AUUGAACGCUGGCGGCAUGCCUAACACAUGCAAGUCGAACGGCAGCACGGCAGUAGCAAUACUGUGGGUGGCGAGUGGCGGACGGGUGAGGAAUACGUCGGAAUCUGCCCAGUCGUGGGGGAUAACUAGCCGAAAGGUUAGCUAAUACCGCAUACGACCGAGAGGUGAAAGCGGGGGACCGCAAGGCCUCGCGCGAUUGGAUGAGCCGACGUCGGAUUAGCUAGUUGGUGGGGUAAAGGCCCACCAAGGCGACGAUCCGUAGCUGGUCUGAGAGGAUGAUCAGCCACACUGGAACUGAGACACGGUCCAGACUCCUACGGGAGGCAGCAGUGGGGAAUAUUGGACAAUGGGCGCAAGCCUGAUCCAGCAGUGCCGCGUGUGUGAAGAA
rnacentral:rRNA from 1 species